rnacentral:rRNA from 1 species
GACGAACGCUGGCGGCGCGCUUAACACAUGCAAGUCGAGCGAGAACCAUGCCUUCGGGCAUGGGGACAGCGGCGAACGGGUGAGUAACACGUGGGUAAUCUGCCCUUGACAUCGGGAUAGCCCGGGGAAACCCGGAUUAAUACCGAAUAGCCUCCGAAGCCCUCGGGCGUCGGAGAAAAGGUAGCUUCGGCCUCUGGUCAAGGAUGAGCCCGCGGCGGAUUAGCUUGUUGGCGGGGUAACGGCCCACCAAGGCGACGAUCCGUAGCUGGUCUGAGAGGACGAUCAGCCACACUGGGACUGAGACACGGCCCAGACUCCUACGGGAGGCAGCAGUGGGGAAUCUUGCGCAAAUGCGGGAAACCGUGACGCAGCGACGCCGCGUGGGGGAAGAAGGCCUUCGGGUUGUAAACCUCUUUCAGGAGGGACGAAGCUACUCGGGUUAAUAGCCCAGAGGGUGACGGUACCUCCAGAAGAAGCCCCGGCUAACUACGUGCCAGCAGCCGCUGUAACAC